CAAGAUGGCGGCUCGGGGAGUCGGGCCUGUGUUCAUCUCUUGUGUUUUCCUCAGUUCGCUCGCCCUGGAUUCAGAAAAUUGCAACCAAGAUACAAGAUGCUGAACCUCACAUCGCCUCUCAAGGCUGUGCAUCUAGUGUAUAUUAUGGGAGUGAUGAGCAAAUAUCUGUAACCCGCUGUUGGUGGAUGCUGAGGUGCUGGAGGGGCUGAAGCAACUGGUACCAAUACGGCAGCAGCAGUGCGAGCCAAGGGGGCGAUGGGAAAUCUCUCUCUGCUUGAAUAGGCCACCUAAUAAGACACACAGCAUAGUACCGCUCUGAAUCAGGAAGCAAGCAGCCCACCUUUUCUGCAUGAACUUCUAUCUGGUUGUUGGACGUGGUGACAAUGACGUCCUCAGGGGAGAAGUCUCGCACGUCAACUGUGAACUGGUACGAAUCCCCGAGAGUUUUAAUGUUUCCAGCUCCACCUGAAAGCCAGCAAGAUGAGAAAGCAUGUUGUUACCUUUGGUUUUGUUUACACCACCUGCCGCUGAAAUUGCUUCCCAUUUCAGUGAGUUAAGUACCAUCACUGGUAAUUAUAAUAGCUGCAGGCGGUUAGGGACUGAUUAACUGAUGUUACAGGAAGUUGAUUUAAUAGGCUGCACCAUAUAAUUGAAAUCUUGUAUUUUUUCUUUAUGCCAAAACUCUAGUAUACUGUUGAAUAGUUUCAAUAAAAAAAAGAAGCUAAAUUCAAUCAUUCACUAUUCAGAGAAAACAUUUUCUCUUUUCUUUUAGUAUUUCAUUACUUCCUUAUUUGUAUAUACACACAAGGGUUCAAUUGAUAUACAUACACAUACAUGUUAUAUGAUGUGUGAACUUUCAGUGAAAAUUUGUUAAAAAUUUAAUCUAAUGACUUAAUUAUAAUUAUAGCCAAACACAUAACCAAACAGGAACACCGUCUUUUUUUUUUUUACAGAAAACAUGAUUGUAUCCUAAUGGUGUUUGUUUUCAUUUAUUACUAAAUACAGACAAGCAGAAUGUCUGUAUUGAUAACACAAAUGUUUUCCAUAUUAUUGAAUAGACUGACAAAUGAGUAUUUGUCGGCAUAGUUGCUGUUUUGGUCAUUAUCCAAAUGCAUCCACUACUGUACAGAAGGCAGAUCUACAGUUGUGAUUAAUUUAUGGAAACGUACAUUACUAUCAACGAAAAAGUGCUUUCUUUGGCCCUCCAAUUAUAAUUUAGUUAUUUGCAUCACAGCCUUUCAUUUUGUUUUAAUAUUGGUUUUGUCAUUUGUUUAGUUUCUAUCAAUCCCAUGUCUGGAGUCUGAGCAACAA